UGAGGAAUAUUGGUCAAUGGGCGAGAGCCUGAACCAGCCAAGUCGCGUGAGGGAAGACGGUCCUACGGAUUGUAAACCUCUUUUGUCGGGAGCAAUAAAGCGUACGCGUACGCAGAUGCGAGUACCCGAAGAAAAAGCAUCGGCUAACUCCGUGCCAGCAGCCGCGGUAAUACGGAGGAUGCGAGCGUUAUCCGGAUUUAUUGGGUUUAAAGGGUGGGCAGGCGGAAAGUGCAAGUCAGCGGUCAAACGACGGGGCUCAACCCCGCGUCGCCGUGCAAUCUGUCAUUUCUUAGAGUGAGCGAGAAGUAUGCGGAAUGCGUGGUGUAGCGGUGAAAUGCAUAGAUAUCACGCAGAACUCCGAUUGCGAAGGCAGCAUACCGGCGCUCAACUGACGCUCAUGCACGAAAGCGUGGGUAUCGAACAGAUUAGAUACC
rnacentral:rRNA from 1 species